rnacentral:rRNA from 1 species
UACGGAGGGGGCUAGCGUUGUUCGGAAUUACUGGGCGUAAAGCGCACGUAGGCGGCUUUGUAAGUUAGAGGUGAAAGCCCGGAGCUUAACUCCGGAACUGCCUUUAAGACUGCAUCGCUCGAAUCAUGGAGAGGUCAGUGGAAUUCCGAGUGUAGAGGUGAAAUUCGUAGAUAUUCGGAAGAACACCAGUGGCGAAGGCGACUGACUGGACAUGUAUUGACGCUGAGGUGCGAAGGCGUGGGGAGCAAACAGG